CCCCGCCCUUGGCUGUCAUGACUCACACAAACUCCUCACCAGAGUUCCCUCUUCCGCUGUCAAAUCACAAAUUGAAGAUUCAAAGACGAAACGCUGCGAAUUCUCGAAUCAGUUAUGGUCUUUAGAGACUUGAAAUCGCUGAUCGAAACACGAUCGGAUGUGAAACAGUCCGUGAGAUCCGAAUCUUUCUACAUCAUCCACCAAAUCAAGAUAAAAUUGUCAAACAAAAGCUUUUCACUCUCCAAUUAUGUGUUGGCGCUUUCGCUCUCACAGGCGAUAUUGAGGCAGCCACAAACUCCUUGUCAAAUUUUGUCCGUCAAUUAAUUAAAAUUGUUAGCAGUCUCUACAUGAAUUAUGUGUGCAGAGUUGUUUGUCGCUGAAACAAGAGGCAUUGCUUUUGCGUGAUGUUUAGUCUACCGGUGAAAAAUCGCAACAAAUUUCGUAUCUGGAAUGGCUAAAUUUUGAUCGCCAUUGACUUGAUAACGGCUUCUAUGCUAUUGCUAUACAGUCGUGUGAAAAGUCCCUAGCAUGUUUUGAAAAGAAUGACAUUGCAGAUACGAAAACAGGUGAGUUCUUCGAAAAUGCUCAGAUUAUUGAAGAGAUAAAGAGGUUCAAGGACCGUGACGUGGAAGUCUGCAGCUUCAGGUUCUGACUUAUGAAAUGCGUACUUCAAUGAUAGCUUGUGUUGUGUUACACACACACGCACGCGCACGCAGCUUUGAUCUCUUAGUUUUAUGUUAAUUUUGGAAGCGAAUAUUAUAUAUUCUAUAUGCCACACG